GGAAAAAUCAAUCUACCACCUAGUGGAAACAGAUUGGCAAUUUUACCUGGAUCAACUGCGAAAAUACAGUGGUCGUAUGAUGGUGAUAUAUCUAAAGUGAUUUAUCGAGUAUGGUAUUUUAAAAGUAGUGGCCGUUCAUCAAGAGAGCUACUUGCAUUGAUACGAUUUGAUAAUAGCCCCCAAAUACUAAACAGCACCUUACCUGGGGUUGAAAUAGAAAAGCCAGCAACAUUAGUUUUAAAAAACGUUGAUCUCAGUUAUAAUGGAACAUACUUCUUUCAACUAAUUGGAUCACCUGGCGGUGGUGAAUCUGAAGUUUCCGUUUUUAUUGCAGGCAAGUAGUUCAGAUUCGGAGUUUUGUCUUUUUCGGCAACAUUUGGCGGAGGAAGUGAUAAAUCUAAAGUAAUUCCCAACGCUCAAUGCGUCUAAGUUUUCCUUGUGUUUUCAGGUAAUUGCAUCCCUAUCAAUCCGAAGCUUUCUAAAUCUAGAGUUGUGUCUUGCUGUUUUUUGUUACAGUAAAGUUUGGGAGGAGUAAAGCCUUUUCCUACAACAUUUCAGGAGUAGCCUGUUUUCAUGAUAGCUUUUACAGGAUUUAAAGUUUGUUCGUUCACUGCAACCAGGUAUAUCAAUCAUGCUUCGCUCGCUACUCUGGUUUAAAUAAAUUAUUACAAAUCCCAGUCGAAUUGUAAUCAAGACCCAACGUUUCGACACUCCAGUCUAGUGUCUUCAUCAGGGGUGAUCUAAAGUUGCAGUCGUGCCUUCUUAAAUACCCAAGGGAUGAAGUCACCUGCCAAUGAGAUGCAUGUAUUUCUUCAUUCCUGGAGAUAAAUAGUCCGC